ensembl:lncRNA
GUGUUAAAGUGUGCUGCAAUCUGGUUGUCUUUCUGCAGUUCCGCCAAAGUUUCUCGGAUGGAGGAUUCGGUGACUCCUUAAGAGGGAGCAGAAGAGCGAAGCCCUGGCAGUCCACAGUGCUCACUACGGGCGUAGCUACCUUCGUACUGGGAAAGUUUUACCUUCUUCUCUAGGCUCCAAGAAAGGGCUGCCUUCCAAACCGCAAACACGGGCGUGUGUUUCCAUCCUGGCUUGGGCCUCGUCGACCUUCACUGGCCCCUGCUGCUUGUCUGCCGCGCGUGCAAAGGUCCUGCAUCUCCGCUCUCCUGACAGCAUACUCAAGUCUGGAAAGAGCCUGUAAAUUCCAGAAGUCACAGGCUCAGUUUAUUCAUCUCGGCACUUCCAGCUUCUGUUGUAGCUUGCAGUUCAGUAAGUGCUGAACUCCAGCGUGUCUCAGGAAAUACUCUGCUCCUUUUGGGAAGGUGAUGGUCUCGAUGCAUACUUUCAGAAAAACAAGUGGAACAAGUAGAUAAAGAUAGGGGUUUUUGGCUGUCGUCAAAAUGAAGCCUGAGGGAAAUUUUUACUUGUCCUGAUGCAGAGGCUAUGGAAAACUUAAAGUCUAAUUACUUUAUGCUCACUCAGCUGUGAAUUAUAUCCAACAUUAUUAAUAAGACUUGGAGAAUAACAGUAAUGGUUCACUUAAGUGUCGAUUGUUUAUACUUUUCAAGUAUUUGCAUUUGUUACCUUGUAUGACCUCUAACUGUGAAAGAGACAAGACAGUUUUAUUGCUUACAAGAAAACAGUGUCUGAGUGGUUAAGCUGAGUUACUCCAAGGCAGAUGCAAGGUUGGAAAUAAUAUGAGUUUUCUGACUUGUAAAUUUAAAACCUGAGCAGAUUAAAAAGUAAUAGUACCUGGGUUAUAGGGUUGUGCUACAAAGUAACUGAAGUCAGGCUUUCCCAUGGCAGCUUUGAAGUCAUAAUAAUACUUUUUAAAAGCCUUUUACCAAGCCAGGUAUAGUGGUGCAUGCCUGUAAUCCCAGCACUAUGGGAGGGUGAGGCAGGAGGAUCAUGCAUGCAAGCCCAAUCUGAGCAAUUUAGUCUCAGAAUAAACAUUUUUUUAGAUGGCUGGGGAUGUAGUUCAGUGCAAAGGCCCCGGAUUUAGUCCUCAGUUUUAUUUUUCAUUUUUUAAAUGUGGAAGUUCUUAUUGGAAUCUAGACCAUAUCCAUUGUUUAAAUUCAAACUGGGGUGGAAGUUGGGGGUGGUAGGGAUUGAACCCAGAGCCUCAAUAUGUGCAGGUGCUCCACCACUGAGCUAUAUCCUCAGGCCUCAAACAAAACACACCCCUCAAGGCCUGGUUUUGGGGAUUGAACCCAAGGAUCUCUACUACGAGCUACAUCCCCAGCCCUUUAUUUUUCUACUUUGAGGCAGGGUUUCCCUAAAUUGCCCAAGCUGGCCUCAAACUUGUGAUUGUCCUGCUUUAACCUCCCGAGUAGCUGAGAUUACAGGCAUGUGCCUCUACAUGCAGCCCCCAAACCAAAUAUUUAAAGCCAUAAAAACAGCGUGAAACUUCUCUUAGCCUCCUUUCCCUGGCUGUUGAGUAGGGUUAAUAAAAUCCAGUAAGAAACAGGAAUAGGCAUGAGCCCCACAAUUAGGGGGGACAUCAGAGUACCUCUCCACGUUAUGAUUUCAGAGCUUCCCCAUAAAACUAUGCAAAAUGGGCCCUUUAGGAAUUCAUGUUCUCUAACCUAUGUCCUCCCCAAUAAUCUGCAUAAAUCACCCCAACUUAAAGAACUCUCUCCAUCUUUAUUUCUUCGCAUAAUUUUUACCAUUCUGAUAGCACUUAUAUCGCUAUAUAUUUUUUCGUAUUCCCCAUAUCAGCUAGCACACCACCUGGCACAUAGUAAAUGGAUAGUUAGUAAAUGUUUGAUGAAUGAGUAGAUGAGAUUAUAGUACAACUAAUAUGAUAAAAUUACCUAAAUAUUUUUCUUUAUAAAUUUUAUAACUAAAAAUAGCAAUAAAGGGAAUCACAGAAUAAGCCCCCAUCUAUCUACCUGGAUUUGGCAAAUAACAUGUUUUUAACAGUUUAGUGAUUCUUUUCUCAUUAACAAUGGAAUUAGGGAUUUUAUAUUCAUUACCCUACAGCUGCCUAAUUAAUCCUGGGCAGAAUUCUUAAAAUCCAGUGAAAUACAUGAGCAAAGAGUAUCUCAGCUCUGGAUCCCACACACACACACGAAAAAGAAGCCUUCUCACUCACUUUGCAUCAUUUAUUCCAAACCUUCGCAUGAGCCCAGUCCCCUUACAUUUUAGCUGUCCUACCUAAGUCUCAUUAUUGCACAAGUUUGGUGUUUGCCAAAUGAUAGCUGACUAGCCUGAUUGACUUCAUUCUCUCAGAAAUUUCAGGAUCACCCAUACUGCUUCCCCCUUACCUGUCAUAUCCAAUUAGUCACUAGACUUACUUGAUUCCUGCUCAGGAAUAACUCACUUCUCCACUUAUCCAUCUCUGUUGCUACUUAUUUAGACCUUCGUCCCUUAUGAGUACUACUGCAAUAGCUUCCUGUCCUCCUGUCUAUCCAUUCUCUCAGCCUCUAAAUCAGUGAUGGUGAACCUUUUAGAGACAAGUGCCCAAACUGCAACCCCAAACCAACUUAUGGAAAAGUAUGGUCACUGCAAUUAAACCUGAUAUACUGAGGUUUUAGUUUAAAAAAAACCAAACUUAUCCAAUGCUCAGCAGCUGGGGCAAUUUGGUUCUUGUGCCAACAGAGAGGGCUCUGUGUGCCCUCUGGCGCAUGCAUCCCAAAGGUUCACCACCACUGCUCUAAACUGUGACUGGAUGCUGGGGAUAUAGCUCAGUGGUUCUGCCACCUUCCUGACAAGUACAAGGACCCAAGUUCAAUCCCCAGUACCAAAAAAAAAAAAAAUUAAAAAUUAAAAAUAAAUUGUGACUGGAUGAUCUUUCCAAAGAAUACUGAUACAGGUAAGUUGAUAGUUUCUCCCUACAUAAAAAUAUUUUAUGUUCCUUGUGGUUUUUAUUUCAUUAUUUUUGUUUUCCUAACAUUCUAUAAUGAACAUGAACUAUUUUGGAUCACAGGAAAAAUAUUUAAAUUAAUGACUCUUCAUUACCUAUGUUAUCAAAUUACAAAUUCUUUGUACCACUCUUUAAGGCUCUCAGAUCUGAGCAUACUUCUCUCCCACAUUUCCCAUAUCUUCUCUUCAUUUUUUCCAUAUUCCAGCCAUAGAAAAACUAUUUACCUUUCACAGACUGGGCCAUAAAUGUAUACACUUAUUUUUAUGUGCUGUUCCACAUGCUGUUUGCUCUUCCCCCCCCUUCAUGGCCAGGCAUUUCUAUGUGCUUGUCUUCUUCCUCUGUAAAGAUUGCUUUGACUCUUCUAGGCAUUUGGUUUCUGCCUCAGUUCUACAAUAGUCCAUGGUACACAUACACACACAGAUGGUAUAUAUGCCACUUCCAUGUCAUCGCUUUGUGUGGAAAUUACUUUUUUCUGGUUGUCCUCACUGCUACUGUACUAAAUAAACCCAAAUCUACGUACACUGCCUUUUGUCUCCUGCCACUUCUUCCUCCUUCUCCUUUUCCCACUAAAUGAAAAAAAAGAAUGAUAAUCAUUAUUUACUAUUUAUUAUCAUUGAAGCAAAAUAUAAAGCCAGAGAAAAUAGAUAAAUUAGACUUCAACAAAAUUAAAACCUUGGGCUGGAGAUUUAGCUCAGUGGUUCCAGUGCCUGCCUCGAAAGCGCAAGGUCCCGAGUUCAAUCCCCAGUACCAAAAAAAAAAAAAAAAAAAAAAAAUUAAAACCUUUCUGGAAUGAUGAUGUGGCUCAGUGGUAGAAUAUUCACCUAGCAUAUGUAAGGGCCUAGGUUUGAUUCCUAGCACCACAAAAUAAAAUAAAGUUUUGUACAUUUCUAGGAGUGUAAUUCAGUCCUAUAGUGCUGGUUAGCAUGUGUAAGGCCUUGGGUUCCAUCCUCCGCACCACAAACCACCCACCCCAAAAGUACAGCAGUAAAAAAAACAGGAUCACCAGGCUUGGUGGUACAUGCCUGUAAUCUCAGCACUCUGGGAGGGUAAGGCAGAAGGGUCACAACUUUGAGUCCAGCCAAAGAAAUUAGAUUCUGUCUCAAUAUAAAAAAUUUUAAAAGUGCUGGGGACAUAACUCACUGCAAAGGCCCUGAGUUUUGUCCCCAGUACUGAGAGAGAGGAGGACACUAUCAAUAAAAGGAAGCAUUUGCAAGUUACAUAUCAAUAAAAGAUUACUACCUAGAAUAUAAGGCUGCAGAGUAGCUCGGUGGUAAAGCACUUGCCUUAGCAUAUGUGAGGCCCUGGAUUAAAUCCUCAGCACUUAAAAAAAAAAAAAAAAUCCAGAAUAUAAAGUACUCCUACAACUAAACAACAACAACAACAAAAACCCAAAUAACCCAAUUUGGAAAAUGAGUAAGGACUUAAGACAUUUCUCCAAAGAUACACAAAUAGCCAGUGUAGGAGCCAGCCUAUGAGUUUAUCCCCAACAAAUGGGCAAAUGAGGAUGAAAGACAAAAGACACAAAGAGACUUUGGAAUGAGGGGACCAGGGGGCUCUUGCCUCUAGUGGACAAUGAGCCCUGCACAUUUGACUCACCUUGCUUUUAUUCACUUAGACUCAGGAACAAACAUUAGAUUAAUAGAAGGUUCAUCUGCCUCUUGUUAUCUAUACCAUGUACCCAGGUAAACAUCCAGAUCUCAGCUGCAUUGACUCUUCUCUGGAACUUGCAAUAUGCUAGUAUGCCUGAAUGUUGCCAAAGGACGCAUAGCUUGCUUUUUUUCUCUUUUGUGCUCAUAGAAAAGGUCAAUUAAGCCUCAAUCCUCAUUAUCUAGUCUCCUACAGCCAGUAUCCACAAUGGGCUGGAGCUGUAGCUCAGUAAUAGGGCUUGCCUAGAAUGCAGGAGGUCAGAGGUUCAAAUCGAAGCACCAUACACCAAAAAAAAGGCAUGGGCCAGGGAUUUAGCUCAGUGGUUCUGCUGCCUGCCUCACAAGCGCAAGGUCCCGAGUUUGAUCCCCAGUACCAAAAAUAAAAAAUGCAUGCUGGUGGCAUAUGCCUAUAAUCCCAGGACCCAAGAGGCUCAGGCAGGGGGAUCUCAAGUUCAAGGCUGGUCUCAAGUUCAAUACCAGCUUGAAGUACAUGACAAAACCUCAUCUGAAGGCGG